AAUUACUACUCCCAUUCCUGCAGUCACUGACCGGCUAACCGCCUUACGAGAUUCCCAAGAACUGUUGAAGGAGACUCUUUCGAAGGCUCAGGAAUGUUACAAAAGAGCUGCUGAUAGGCACAGAAAGGAGGCCCCAGUUUAUCAUGUUGGUGACAAGGUUUGGCUGUCAACAAAGAAUCUUAAGCUUAGGAUUCCUUCUCAUAAAUUGGGUCAAAAGUUCAUGGGACCUUUUAAGAUAAUCUCUCAGAUCAAUGCAGUCACCUUCCGUCUGCAACUUCCGGAUUCCAUGAAAAUACAUCCGGUGUUUCACGUGGCACUGCUUAAACCUUUUCAUGAAAAUACUUUCCCUGGUCGAGCCUUGCCUGCCCCACCACCAGUCCUCGUGGAUGGUGAAGAUGAAUACGAGGUGGAAAAAAUUCUUGACUCCAGGAUCUUCCGC